rnacentral:rRNA from 1 species
AACGCGUAUGCAAUCUACCUUUUACAGAGGGAUAGCCCAGAGAAAUUUGGAUUAAUACCUCAUAGUAUUAUGAAAUGGCAUCAUUUUAUAAUUAAAGUCACAACGGUAAAAGAUGAGCAUGCGUCCCAUUAGCUAGUUGGUAAGGUAACGGCUUACCAAGGCUACGAUGGGUAGGGGUCCUGAGAGGGAGAUCCCCCACACUGGUACUGAGACACGGACCAGACUCCUACGGGAGGCAGCAGUGAGGAAUAUUGGACAAUGGGCGCAAGCCUGAUCCAGCCAUGCCGCGUGCAGGAUGACGGUCCUAUGGAUUGUAAACUGCUUUUAUACGAGAAGAAACACUACUUCGUGAAGUAGCUUGACGGUAUCGUAAGAAUAAGGAUCGGCUAACUCCGUGCCAGCAGCCGCGGUAAUACGGAGGAUCCAAGCGUUAUCCGGAAUCAUUGGGUUUAAAGGGUCCGUAGGCGGUUUAAUAAGUCAGUGGUGAAAGCCCAUCGCUCAACGGUGGAACGGCCAUUGAUACUGUUAAACUUGAAUUAUUAGGAAGUAACUAGAAUAUGUAGUGUAGCGGUGAAAUGCUUAGAGAUUACAUGGAAUACCAAUUGCGAAGGCAGGUUACUACUAAUGGAUUGACGCUGAUGGACGAAAGCGUGGGUAGCGAACAGGAUUAGAUACCCUGGUAGUCCACGCCGUAAACGAUGGAUACUAGCUGUUGG